rnacentral:lncRNA from 1 species
UCUGAGAGGAACAGGUGGAAUGGCAAUUACCAGGCACAAGAAUUCUCACAGGACAUGGGAUGGGAGAGAGAAUGAGAAAGGAGGACAGCUGCAGGAACAACCUGGGCACCAGGAGCAGAAACAUUCUUUUAAGGACUGGACAAAGAGUAACAGAAUCACAGAGUGAAGAGGUACCUCCCCAAUUAACACAAAGGUGUACAGAAAUAAUGGAACAGUGCCAUAGGUAUCAGAGGUAUUUAGCCAAAAAUAAGAGCCUGCAAGUGAAAAUAGAUGGCAAAGAAGCAAAAUUGACUACAGAGAGCCUGCGUUAUAAGAAAGCUCU